rnacentral:rRNA from 1 species
UACGGGAGGCAGCAGUGGGGAAUAUUGCACAAUGGGCGCAAGCCUGAUGCAGCCAUGCCGCGUGUAUGAAAAGGCCUUCGGGUUGUAAAGUACUUUCAGUCGUGAGGAAGGUGUUAAGGUUAAUAACCUUAGCAAUUGACGUUAGCGACAGAAGAAGCACCGGCUAACUCCGUGCCAGCAGCCGCGGUAAUACGGAGGGUGCGAGCGUUAAUCGGAAUUACUGGGCGUAAAGGGCACGCAGGCGGUUAAUUAAGUUGGAUGUGAAAUCCUCGGGCUUAACCUGGGAAUGGCAUUCAAGACUGGUUAGCUAGAGUCUUGUAGAGGGGGUUAGAAUUCCAUGUGUAGCGGUGAAAUGCGUAGAGAUGUGGAGGAAUACCGGUGGCGAAGGCGGCCCCUGGACAAAGACUGACGCUCAUGUGCGAAAGCGUGGGGAGCAAAC